rnacentral:misc_RNA from 1 species
GAUGAAGAACGCAGCGAAAUGCGAUACUUGGUGUGAAUUGCAGAAUCCCGUGAACCAUCGAGUCUUUGAACGCAAGUUGCGCCCGAAGCCAUUAGGCUGAGGGCACGCCUGCCUGGGCGUCACACGUCGUUGCCCCCCCAUCUACUCCUUCGGGAUUGCGGGGGGCGGAUGAUGGCCUCUCGUGCGCCUCGUCGCGCGGUUGGCCUAAAUGCCAAGUCCUCGGCGACGCACGCCACGACAAUCGGUGGUUGCGAAACCUCGGUUGCCUGUCGUGUGCGGUCGUCGCGCAUCGAGGGCUCGAAAAAAUUGCCGGGCUUCGGCUCGACUUUCAACGCGACCCCAGGUCAGGCGGGGUUACCCGCUGAAUUUAAGCAUAUCAAUAAGCGGAGGA